rnacentral:rRNA from 1 species
UGUCAGCCGCCGCGGUAAUACGGAGGGUGCAAGCGUUAAUCGGAAUUACUGGGCGUAAAGCGUAUGUAGGCGGUUUGAUCAGUCGGAUGUGAAAUCCCCGAGCUUAACUUGGGAAUGGCAUUCGAAACUAUCAAGCUAGAGUAGGCUAGAGGAAAGGGGAAUUCCGCGUGUAGCAGUGAAAUGCGUAGAUAUGCGGAGGAACACCAAUGGCGAAGGCACCUUUCUGGGGUCAUACUGACGCUGAGAUACGAAAGCGUGGGGAGCAAACAGGAUUAGAUACCCUGGUAGUCCACGCCCUAAACGAUGUCAACUAGUUGUUAGGAGGGUUUAACCUUUCGGUGACGAAGCUAACGUAUUAAGUUGACCGCCUGGGGAGUACGGCCGCAAGGUUGAAACUCAAAGAAAUUGACGG